AAUCAUCGGCCCCUCUGCUGUAGGAUGGUCAGCUAUUACCAGUAUUUCGAUGCCUGGAUUGGUAAAACGUAACAUGUGCACGUGUAUAAUCAUUCAGCAUAAACACACAACAUUUGGUAACUGGAAAUACGUCCUUUUUAUCGUUGAAUUUUAAAAAGAUCAUCUUAACCCCUUGGCUUAUUAACGUUUCGCGGAUUUUAGUUUCUGUAAUAUUGUGACGUCAUAUAAGUACGUAGUGCAUCACCCAACAGUUAGGCCUGUUUGAAGACUGAUCAUUCACACAGCAAAAUAAUAUGUUGGCGAUUAAAAAAGUAUGGAGUUUUUAUUAUGCAGUGGAAAAACACCAGUUGUGAUCUUCUUGAAGCAAAGCUUCGUCCAGUGUAUCUUUAUCCUAUAGUAUGCGUUUUCAAGACGGGAAGUUCCAGCUGCAGAUUUAAGACACAUUGAAGAUUAUUUCUGGGAUUCGGGAUUUUCCAGUUUUGAUGUACAGCUUCUUUCUAAAUGUUGAGUGACACUCAGAUGGAAUCUACAGCAACAUUAGACUACAGUCUGUGAUGAUAUCCGAUUCUAUGAGACCUGAGUCUGUUUGUUAAAAUGGUGGCCAACGACCAUAUCAUAAGGCGAAGUACUGAGAACUGCACAGACUAAAUGGAUUACUUUAGGAAUCAAGAAGACAACAUUUUGACAAUGCAUAAAAGAUUCUACGCAAAUAAUUUUUAUCAAACUGUCUUU